UCUCAAGUAAAGGAGGAAGCUGUGCCAGUUGCAACAGGAUUAACAAAAUGAAGAAGCAGGAGAAUCAAAACCGAGGUGCCAUAAAAAAAUUCCGAAUGCAAUGGCGGCAACAACAACCACUAACACGGGAGGAACAAGAGCUAAUAAAAAUAAGAAAGGGGGGGAAAAAAAAAAAAAAAAAA